UCCAGGGAGGGGUGCAUCACCUACACUGGGCCAAGAAUCAGGAAGUCAUUACAUUUCCCAAUGGCACGGUUGUCAGAUGACAAGACCUAGUGAAGGUGGGCCUCCUCCAAUCAGCUGAAGGACUUCAGAGCAACCACUGAGAUUUCAAAAAAGGAAGAAAUUCUGCCUCUGGACUGCAACACUGAAAACUGAAUAUUCUACCUAAUUAUCCUGAUCUAUUGAUAUCAUUCAAGAUUAACAUAUCAGCUCUUGCCUGAACUUCCAAAAUGCUGCCCAUCCUUACAAACCCCAAACUUGUCAGCCCCCACAAUCACUUGAACCAAUUCAUUAGAGUCUUGAUAGAGAAACAUGAAUAAACAACUCUAGAUCUAGAAAA